rnacentral:rRNA from 1 species
UACGGGGGGGGUAAGCGUUGUUCGGAAUUACUGGGCGUAAAGGGCUCGUAGGCGGCCAACUAAGUCAGACGUGAAAUCCCUCAGCUUAACUGGGGAACUGCGUCUGAUGCUGGAUGGCUUGGAUUCGGGAGAGGAAUGCGGAAUUCCAGGUGUAGCGGUGAAAUGCGUAGAUAUCUGGAGGAAUACCGGUGGCGAAGGCGGCAUCCUGGACCGACAUUGACGCUGAGGAGCGAAAGCUAGGGGAGCAAACGGG